CCUUUAAGCAGCCUGUUUGUUUGUGCCUGUUAGUUGUUUGACCUGUGGCAUCCCAGCGCUGGCGUCUGCAAGCUGCUGCGUGGGGCCAGGUCUCCGCGCUAGGAGCCCGGACACCAGCCUGCACAGCAGCAGUGCUCUUCCCGGGGCUGAAUGUCUGCCACCAGUAGAUCUGCCACCAGUGAGUGUGUCCCCAGGGUGAGCUGCAGCUGCCCCCCACCUCUCCAGGAGGCUCUCCAAGACCAGCAGGUUCUACACUAACAGAGCAGCCUGUCUGGGAAGUUGCUGGUCAUUCUGACAGAGAGGACCAAAGGGCAUGAGUCUUCAAGCUUCUGCCUGAAGUGACAUAGGCCAUUUCUGCCCACACAUCAUUGGCCAAAGCAAGUCACAUGAAGUCCAGUUUCAGUGGGACAAGGAGGCAUUGUCUUCUCCCCGGGAAAGGAAGGCAGAGAACUCCCUCCUCCCAUUG